GACGAACGCUGGCGGCGUGCCUAACACAUGCAAGUCGAACGGACAGGUCCUGCUUUUGUGGGGUGCUCGAGUGGCGAACGGGUGAGUAACACGUGAGUAACCUGUCCCUGACUUAGGGAUAACUUCAGGAAACUGGGGCUAAUACCGGAUAGGAGCUCUUGCUGCACGGUGGGGGUUGGUAAGUUUCGGCGGUUGGGGAUGGACUCGCGGCUUAUCAGCUUGUUGGUGGGGUAGUGGCUUACCAAGGCUUUGACGGGUAGCCGGCCUGAGAGGGUGACCGGCCACAUUGGGACUGAGAUACGGCCCAGACUCCUACGGGAGGCAGCAGUGGGGAAUAUUGCACAGUGGGCGGAAGCCUGAUGCAGCGACGCCGCGUGCGGGAUGACGGCCUUCGGGUUGUAAACCGCUUUCGCCUGUGACGAGGCGUGAGUGACGGUAAUGGGUAAAGAAGCACCGGCUAACUACGUG
rnacentral:rRNA from 1 species